UGGGGAAUAUUGGGCAAUGGGCGCAAGCCUGACCCAGCAACGCCGCGUGAAGGAAGAAGGCUUUCGGGUUGUAAACUUCUUUUCUAAGGGACGAAGGAAGUGACGGUACCUUAGGAAUAAGCUCCGGCUAACUACGUGCCAGCAGCCGCGGUAAUACGUAGGGAGCGAGCGUUAUCCGGAUUUACUGGGUGUAAAGGGCGUGUAGGCGGGAUGGCAAGUCAGGCGUGAAAACUAUGGGCUCAACCCAUAGCCUGCGUUUGAAACUGUCGUUCUUGAGUGAUGGAGAGGCAAGCGGAAUUCCGUGUGUAGCGGUGAAAUGCGUAGAUAUACGGAGGAACACCAGUGGCGAAGGCGGCUUGCUGGACAUUAACUGACGCUGAGGCGCGAAAGCGUGGGGAGCAAACAGG
rnacentral:rRNA from 1 species